CGCUCCGCGCCACCUUGGGGAGGGCGCGCUGGGCCUCAGUGCUCACUCCUCCCCCCUCCCAACCUGGCGGCAGGCUCCGUCUCUUAUCUCGCUCCUCUCUCUCCACGGUUCUCCUCGGCCUUUUAAUUCCUCUCGACCACUUUUCCCCUCACCUACCCACCCUCUUUCAAACGGAGGGACCACAGAAUCACAUUUUGCUAGGUUGACUCCCAUCCCCAGCAAAACUCGACCACCUAUAUAACUUUAUAAGCUCUUCUUUCUCGUUCCCCUUACAGCACCCCUGCCUCCCAUCCCAGAAACCAGCCACCCCCUUCGGAGAGGACCCACCCAUUCUUUUCCUCUCCGCUAUCCUCCUCCUUCUCCCUCUCUUCCUCCUACCCCCUAUCCCCCCUAUCCCCUCAAUCCACCCCCACCCCGUCUCCGUCUCCCACCCCGUCUCCGUUUCCCACCCCAUCUCCGUUCUCCUCCUCCUCCUGCCUCACCCUGGGCGGAGUGGUGCUGCCGCUGGUGCUGGGGCUGCCGCCGCCGCCGGGAGCCUCCUUAGCUGCCUUCCCCGUGCCCGCACUGACACCAUCUGUCAACUUCAUUUAGACAUUACAGCCCACAGCCACACGCCAGGGUGCCAAACGCCCAAAGGAAAUUGUUUCAAGAUCGAGAUUUGAUUGACGUCUGGACUUUAGAUAUUUCUACAAAGUGAAGAUCAGUGUUGGGUAGUAGGGGAACCAUAAGGAAACAUUCAUGGAACUUCUUGUGGCCAUCUUGUCACUUCCUUGACUGCUCGGUAGAAGCCCACUUACAACAGAAGAGAACCAACCCCAGAAGGAAGCAAAAGAGAUAAGAGUAUGGGGUGACAACACUGUUGGAGGCUGGGAAUGGCCAAGGCUCUGGGAUUUUCUUUUGAUCAGCCAAUUCCUCUCUUCUACACGCGAUUUACAAGUGCUGUUCUGUACUAGGCACUGUACUAGGUGCUGGGGAAACAUUCAGGGGAGACAGUUAAGGUCUCUUCUUUCAAGACUUAAAUUUGAGGGAGGAGGAGAUAGACAACAAACACGUAUACAAAACCCCCUUCAGAUAGAGGAAAAUGGUAUGAAGGCAGACCAUUAAUAAGUUAGUAGAUAAAUGAGAAACUUUCUGUUGGUAAUGUAAAGGGGGAAAAAUAAUUUUCCCUUUACUCUUCUGAGUUCUAUGGCUGAGACCACCCCCCCUCCCUAUAAUAAGAAAAAUAGAUUGACAAAAGAAAAAACAGCAACAACAAAAAACAUCUAUGCCUCCUGAAUACAUGGGAGAGACCUAGGAAAACGGAGUAAUCCCUGAAAUGGACCCAAGCCAUCACCUUAACUAUCAUCUAAAACUAAAGGG